AUUGAACGCUGGCGGCAGGCCUAACACAUGCAAGUCGAGCGGAUGAAGGGGGCUUGCUCCUGGAUUCAGCGGCGGACGGGUGAGUAAUGCCUAGGAAUCUGCCUGGUAGUGGGGGAUAACGUCCGGAAACGGGCGCUAAUACCGCAUACGGCCUGAGGGAGAAAGGGGGGGAUCUUGGGACCUCACGCUAUCAGAUGAGCUUAGGUCGGAUUAGCUAGUUGGUGGGGUAAAGGCCUACCAAGGCGACGAGCCGUAACUGGUCUGAGAGGGUGAUCAGUCACACUGGAACUGGAACACCGUCCAGACUCCUACGGGAGGCAGCAGUGGGGAAUAUUGGACAGUGGGCGGAAGCCUGAUCCAGCCAUGCCGCGUGUGUGAAGAAGGUGUUCGGAUUGUAAAGCCCUUUAAGUUGGGAGGAAGGGCAGUAAGUUAAUACCUUGCUGUUUUGACGUUACCAACAGAAUAAGCACCGGCUAACUUCGUG
rnacentral:rRNA from 1 species